GGAAAGGCCCUUCGGGGUACUCGAGUGGCGAACGGGUGAGUAACACGUGGGUGAUCUGCCCUGCACUUUGGGAUAAGCCUGGGAAACUGGGUCUAAUACCGAAUAUGACCACGCUCUUCAUGGGGUGUGGUGGAAAGCUUUUGCGGUGUGGGAUGGGCCCGCGGCCUAUCAGCUUGUUGGUGGGGUAAUGGCCUACCAAGGCGACGACGGGUAGCCGGCCUGAGAGGGUGACCGGCCACACUGGGACUGAGAUACGGCCCAGACUCCUACGGGAGGCAGCAGUGGGGAAUAUUGCACAAUGGGCGCAAGCCUGAUGCAGCGACGCCGCGUGAGGGAUGACGGCCUUCGGGUUGUAAACCUCUUUCACCAGGGACGAAGCGCAAGUGACGGUACCUGGAGAAGAAGCACCGGCCAACUACGUGCCAGCAGCCGCGGUAAUACGUAGGGUGCGAGCGUUGUCCGGAAUUACUGGGCGUAAAGAGCUCGUAGGUGGUUUGUCGCGUUGUUCGUGAAAACUCACAGCUUAACUGUGGGCGUGCGGGCGAUACGGGCAGACUAGGGUACUGCAGGGGAGACUGGAAUUCCUGGUGUAGCGGUGGAAUGCGCAGAUAUCAGGAGGAACACCGGUGGCGAAGGCGGGUCUCUGGGCAGUAACUGACGCUGAGGAGCGAAAGCGUGGGGAGCGAACAGG
rnacentral:rRNA from 1 species